UUUGAAGAACCUGGUCUUUCCAAAAUGAGGUAAAUUCGUUAUUUAAUGUAACAUUUAAAUAAUGGCAAAAAUUUCGUCUUGUUUUGGUUGACUCAUCACUGGAGUUUGAAAAUUUUUCGAAGUCCUUCAUCUAUAUGUGAUAAAACACGCUUCAAAUUUCAACUUGUAUUUUCUCAGCUAAUACAAAGUUAUUUUGGAAAAUUAUUUCGCCAAUGUCGUGAUCUAACUGAGACGUUUUUGAAGCUGUUUAAUAAACUCGUAGUUCGUGUUUUAUCACAUAUAAAACACUCCGCUACGCGUCGUGUUUUAUAUGUGAUAAAACACUCCUACUCGUUUAUUAAACAG